AGGAGUGCAAGAGAUGCGCAAGUCGGAAGGGUUGUGUCGGGACUUCGGUUCCGCCUGAGAGACCCAUGUAUUGAAACGGGCGAAGUGAGAGCAAUUUCAUGGAUGCGAGAGCCCAGUGGGAAACCCUGGGCACAUCGCUGGCCGAGCCAAUAGUCACUCUGUGGCUGGUUUCGAGUGCGAGCGUAUCUGUUGCGACCCGAAAGAUGGUGAACUAUGCCUGAGGAGGGUGAAGCCAGAGGAAACUCUGGUGGAGGCCCGUAGCGGUUCUGACGUGCAAAUCGAUCGUCGCACUUGGGUAUAGGGGCGAAAGACUAAUCGAACCAUCUAGUAGCUGGUUCCCUCCGAAGUUUCCCUCAGGAUAGCUGGAGUUUUUGAGCAGUUUCGUCGGGUAAAGCGAAUGAUUAGAGGUAUCGGGGUUGAAAGGGCCUCGCCCUAUUCUCAAACUUUAAAUCGGCGAGAAGGGAUCGUCUUGCCUACCGGAAGGCGUCCCCCGAAUGCAGGGGCUCCAAGUGGGCCGUUUUUGGUAAGCAGAACCGGCGAUGCGGGAUGAACCGAACGUUGGGCUAUGGCGCCGGAGUCGACGCUGAGCAGAUACCAGGAAAGGUGUUGGUUGAUCUAGACAGCAG
rnacentral:rRNA from 1 species